rnacentral:misc_RNA from 1 species
GAUGAAGAACGUAGCGAAAUGCGAUAAGUAAUGUGAAUUGCAGAAUUCAGUGAAUCAUCGAAUCUUUGAACGCACAUUGCGCCCCUUGGUAUUCCGAGGGGCAUGCCUGUUCGUGCGUCAUUUCAACCCUCAAGCACAGCUUGGUCUUGGGCUUCGCCGCUAACCCGGCGGGUCUUAAAAUCAGUGGCGGUGCCGUCGGGCCCUGAGCGCAGUAAUCUCUCUCGCUAUAGGGUCCCGGCGGAUGCUGGCCAGUAACCCCCAAUUUUCUAUGGUUGACCUCGGAUCAGGUAGGGAUACCCGCUGAACUUAAGCAUAUCAAUAAGCGGAGGA